UGACACCCUUUGGGCCUAUAGGAC
rnacentral:siRNA from 1 species